rnacentral:rRNA from 1 species
GAACGCUGGCGGCAUGCUUUACACAUGCAAGUCGAACGGUAACAGGGAGCUUGCUCCGCUGACGAGUGGCGAACGGGUGAGUAAUGCAUCGGAACGUACCCAGUCGUGGGGGAUAACGUAGCGAAAGUUACGCUAAUACCGCAUACGUCCUGAGGGAGAAAGCGGGGGACCGUAAGGCCUCGCGCGAUUGGAGCGGCCGAUGUCGGAUUAGCUAGUUGGUAGGGUAAAGGCCUACCAAGGCGACGAUCCGUAGCGGGUCUGAGAGGAUGAUCCGCCACACUGGGACUGAGACACGGCCCAGACUCCUACGGGAGGCAGCAGUGGGGAAUUUUGGACAAUGGGCGAAAGCCUGAUCCAGCCAUGCCGCGUGAGUGAAGAAGGCCUUCGGGUUGUAAAGCUCUUUCAGCCGGAAAGAAAUCGCGCAGGAUAAUACUCUGCGUGGAUGACGGUACCGGAAGAAGAAGCACCGGCUAACUACGUGCCAGCAGCCGC